ANNCGUCAGAGUGAACGCUGGCGGUAGGCCUAACACAUGCAAGUCGAACGGCAGCACGAGAGAGCUUGCUCUCUUGGUGGCGAGUGGCGGACGGGUGAGGAAUACAUCGGAAUCUACCCUGUCGUGGGGGAUAACCUCGGGAAACCGGGACUAAUACCGCAUACGACCUUCGGGUGAAAGUAGGGGAUCGCAAGACCUUACGCGAUUGGAUGAGCCGAUGUCGGAUUAGCUUGUUGGCGGGGUAAAAGCCCACCAAGGCGACGAUCCGUAGCUGGUCUGAGAGGAUGAUCAGCCACACUGGGACUGAGACACGGCCCAGACUCCUACGGGAGGCAGCAGUGGGGAAUAUUGGACAAUGGGCGCAAGCCUGAUCCAGCCAUACCGCGUGGGUGAAGAAGGCCUUCGGGUUGUAAAGCCCUUUUGUUGGGAAAGAAAAGCAAUCGGUUAAUACCCGGUUGUCCUGACGGUACCCAAAGAAUAAGCACCGGCUAACUUCGUGCCAGCAGCCGCGGUAAUACGAAGGGUGCAAGCGUUACUCGGAAUUACUGGGCGUAAAGCGUGCGUAGGUGGUUCGUUAAGUCUGAUGUGAAAGCCCUGGGCUCAACCUGGGAAUUGCAUUGGAUACUGGCGGGCUAGAGUGCGGUAGAGGGUAGUGGAAUUCCCGGUGUAGCAGUGAAAUGCGUAGAGAUCGGGAGGAACAUCCGUGGCGAAGGCGACUGCCUGGACCAGCACUGACACUGAGGCACGAAAGCGUGGGGAGCRAACAGGAUUAGAUACCCUGGUAGUCCACGCCSUAAACGAUGMGWRCUGRRUGUURGGAGCWAUCUGSCUCUCAGURYUGMAGCUAACGCRUUAAGYWCKCCGCCUGGGGAGUACGGUCGCAAGACUGAAACUCAAAGGAAUUGACGGGGGCCCGCACAAGCGGUGGAGYAUGUGGUUUAAUUCGAWGCAACGCGAAGAACCUUACCWGGUCUUGACAUCCUCUGACAACCCUAGAGAUAGGRYUKUCCCUUCGGGGACMGAGUGACAGGUGGUGCAUGGUUGUCGUCAGCUCGUGUCGUGAGAUGUUGGGUUAAGUCCCGCAACGAGCGCAACCCUUGAYCUUAGUUGCCAGCAKUMAGKUGGGMACUCUAAGGWGACYGCCGGUGACAAACCGGAGGAAGGUGGGGAUGACGUCAARUCAUCAUGSCCCUUAYGRCCWGGGCUACACACGURCUACAAUGGRMAGRACARAGGGCUGCAARMCCGCRAGGKYWAGCCAAUCCCAKAAAYCUKYUCUCAGUYCGGAUCGSAGUCUGCAACUCGACUSCGUGAAGYYGGAAUCGCUAGUAAUCGCRGAUCAGCAUGCYGCGGUGAAUACGUUCCCGGGCCUUGUACACACCGCCCGUCACACCACGAGAGUUUGCAACACCCGAAGUCGGUGAGGUAACCUUUAUGGAGCCAGCCGCCGAAGGUGGGGCAGAUGAUUGGGGUGAAGUCGUA
rnacentral:rRNA from 1 species